rnacentral:rRNA from 1 species
GAUGAACGCUGGCGGCGUGCCUAAUACAUGCAAGUCGAGCGAACAGACGAGGAGCUUGCUCCUCUGACGUUAGCGGCGGACGGGUGAGUAACACGUGGAUAACCUACCUAUAAGACUGGGAUAACUUCGGGAAACCGGAGCUAAUACCGGAUAAUAUAUUGAACCGCAUGGUUCAAUAGUGAAAGACGGUUUUGCUGUCACUUAUAGAUGGAUCCGCGCCGCAUUAGCUAGUUGGUAAGGUAACGGCUUACCAAGGCAACGAUGCGUAGCCGACCUGAGAGAGUGAUCGGCCACACGGGAGCGUGGACACGGUCCAGACUCCUACGGGAGGCAGCAGUAGGGAAUCGUCCGCAAUGGGCGAAAGCUUGACGGAGCAACGCCGCGUGAGUGAUGAAGGUCUUCGGAUCGUAAAACUCUGUUAUUAGGGAAAAACAAAUGUGUAAGUAACUAUGCACGUCUUGACGGUACCUAAUCAGAAAGCCACGGCUAACUACGUG